CGAGAAAGCCCGCAAGGGUGAGUACAGCGGCGCACGGGUGCGUAACACGUGAGUAAUCUGCCCUGAAGCCCGGAAUAACCUCCCGAAAGGGAAGCUAAUGCCGGAUGAGCCCACGGGGUCCUUGGACCCUGAGAGAAAAGGCGGCCUCUGUAUACAAGCUGUCACUUCAGGAUGAGCUCGCGGCCCAUCAGCUAGUUGGCGGGGUAAUGGCCCACCAAGGCUACGACGGGUAGCUGGUCUGAGAGGACGAUCAGCCACACUGGAACUGAGACACGGUCCAGACUCCUACGGGAGGCAGCAGUGGGGAAUCUUGCGCAAUGGGCGAAAGCCUGACGCAGCAACGCCGCGUGUGUGAUGAAGGUCUUCGGAUCGUAAAGCACUGUCGCGAGGGACG
rnacentral:rRNA from 1 species